rnacentral:rRNA from 1 species
UACGUAGGUGGCAAGCGUUGUCCGGAAUUAUUGGGCGUAAAGCGCGCGCAGGCGGUCCUUUAAGUCUGAUGUGAAAGCCCACGGCUCAACCGUGGAGGGUCAUUGGAAACUGGGGGACUUGAGUGCAGGAGAGAAGAGUGGAAUUCCACGUGUAGCGGUGAAAUGCGUAGAGAUCGGGAGGAAUACCUGUGGCGAAGGCGGCCUACUGGGCCGGACCUGACGCUGAGACGCGAAGGCGUGGGGAGCGAACGGG